rnacentral:rRNA from 14 species
GUGUCUGGUGGGUAGUUUGACUGGGGCGGUCUCCUCCUAAAGAGUAACGGAGGAGCACGAAGGUUGGCUAAUCCUGGUCGGACAUCAGGAGGUUAGUGCAAUGGCAUAAGCCAGCUUGACUGCGAGCGUGACGGCGCGAGCAGGUGCGAAAGCAGGUCAUAGUGAUCCGGUGGUUCUGAAUGGAAGGGCCAUCGCUCAACGGAUAAAAGGUACUCCGGGGAUAACAGGCUGAUACCGCCCAAGAGUUCAUAUCGACGGCGGUGUUUGGCACCUCGAUGUCGGCUCAUCACAUCCUGGGGCUGAAGUAGGUCCCAAGGGUAUGGCUGUUCGCCAUUUAAAGUGGUACGCGAGCUGGGUUUAGAACGUCGUGAGACAGUUCGGUCCCUAUCUGCCGUGGGCGCUGGAGAACUGAGGGGGGCUGCUCCUAGUACGAGAGGACCGGAGUGGACGCAUCACUGGUGUUCGGGUUGUCAUGCCAAUGGCACUGCCCGGUAGCUAAAUGCGGAAGAGAUAAGUGCUGAAAGCAUCUAAGCACGAAACUUGCCCCGA